UUUUUGCACAAAAAUAAGCUAUUUAAUUCCAUUGUCCAUGAGCUGUUUGAAGGACUCUUGUAUGUUAAGGCGGUAAAAGACUGAGAAAGCCAUAAGGCAGCAUGGCAAACCCACAUAUUAACCCUGUUCACCCUUGCAGACCUGGCUCACCGCUUUUUUUGUGAUGCAGAGUUCCAUUCUAUUACAUCACUCAUCACUGGAGAAAUUAGUGACCUCGACGGAAAUUUGUCAGUGAAGAGUUGGGACACUUCAAGUUUGAGAUGGAAGCAUUAUUACAAAUCAGGGAAUAGAAAACAGGUAGCUUUUGUUCUUCUCCAAAGAAUGGACCACAAUUGUCUUUUCAGCCAUAUUUAUGAACAGGGUGCUGGAGGUGACAGCAGACUGAGACAGGUGGUGCACAUUUUUGCAGACCAUUCACCUUUGACCUGGCAAGAACCCUGCUCGCUCGCUCGCUCGCUCACUCACUCUCAGGGUCCUGGACAAGAUUGCUUUAACCUUUCCUGUUUCAUGUUUGGCUUCUUUGGUUCCUUUCAGUCUAUGGUUGUUGUUCUGUCUUAAAGUCUGGCUAUGCUUGGAGUUUGAAGCCAUAGAAUAGUAACAGUAAACAGACCUGAACUGGAGACUCAUCUCUGCUACUACUACCCGGGCAUUUGUUGUCAUCUCAAUCUGUUUACUCAUCUGCUGACCAGAGGUGAGAAUCGUAAAUAAUACUUACCUAGUGGAAAACUCGCAACAUAGUGUCUGGCAAAGAGUGAGCGCUGAGUGAGCGCUCAAUAAGUGUUUCACAUCCUGAAGGCCUAAGACUCGGUUAUGACUUAGGGAAUCUGUACACAACUCUUCUACAUGAAGUGACGAACUGGCAUCUCGCUCCAAAUUGGAUGCCAGCUCUUCACAUUGCUCUGGAGUCUCUGGCAAUUAGCUUCCUUGGAGACUACUGGAAGCCUAGUUUCUGUAGUAAAACUGAAGAUCUGUUUAAUCAGAAUGUCACAUGGUGAAGGACUCCUCACAGCCCUUUCAUGGACAGAGGUUUUAAAUAACAGCCCACGACACUCAUCACACUGGAUAUGGCGUUUACUUUAAGUUCCGUCUCUCAAUUGGAGAUGCAGCAUUUCAGAACCACGUGUGUCCAAUCAGGCGCUGGAGAAAGACACCUGCCAACAGGAGGAGCAGCAGAAGCACACAGUAUGGACUCAACUUUUGCAGGAAAUAGGCAGCCAAACCUUCAGAUCACUGGGAGACAACACAUCUGAGAAGCUAAAAUGUCACACCCCCUGAAACACCAUGAGACUAGGAGACAGGCAGCACAAACCUGAGGACCCCAGAGCUGGUUCCAGCAUGAGUUGCUCACUGUAUCUCCGAAGUUUCCCCAGAGCCCACUCUCCCCUGCCCGCCGCUGGCCUCUGGAGAUUGCUGGCCAGCAUUCCCACCGACUGGGGACGGCUCUGAGACACAAUCAGGCUCUCAAGGAGCAAUUCCCACGAGCUUUCACUGUGCGUGUCAGCUUGCUGAGGCAUACGUUUUCAGCCACUUGAUUUUUUUCUCUGUCCCUGCAGUGGUUUAGUUAGUAAGGAAAGUGGUUGAACUGUAUGGGAGGAAAUGAAACAGAAGGAAAUAUUGUUUUGACCUAGUUAAGUAACUGAGUAGAUUUUUACAUUUUAAUGAUUUCUGUUUAUGGUGUGGUAUCUAAAUAUGCAUCGUGUGUGUGUGUGUGUGUGUGUGUGUUACUUGGGGCUGUCAUUUUUUCUACAAAAACAGAAAUGUUCAUUAUGAGUGCAUAUUAGAUAAUGUGUCAGGAAUAGCAUAGCUUUAUGAAACAUGCUACAUAUAGUUUCUUUCUUUUUUUUUUUAAAGAUUUAUUUAUUUAUUUGAGAGUCAGAGUUACUUAGAGAGAGAAGGAGAGGCAGAGAGAGAGAGAGAGAGAGAGAGAGUGUGUGUCUUCCAUCCACUGAUUCACUCCCCAAUUGGCCAUAAAGGCUGGAGCUGUGCUGAUCCGAAGCCAGGAGCCAGGUGCUUCCUCCGAGUCUUUCCACGCAUGUGCAGGGGUUCAAGCACUUGGGCCAUCUUCUACUACUUUCCCAGGCCACAGCAGAGAGCUGGAUCGGAAGUAGAGUAGCUGGAACUGGAACUGGCACCCAUAAGGAAUGCUGGCACUGCAGGUGGCGGCUUUACCCACUAUGCCACAGCGGCGGCCCCUACAGGCUCCUUCAUUCUCCUGCCCUUUCUUCUUUUUUCAAUGUUUUUAAAUGACAAGAACGGUACUUUAUGUGAGAGGAUGCAUAGCAACAAAAGGUCACUGCCCUCAAGAAGUAAUUGAACACAAUAAAUAGAACUACGGUUCUAGAAGUUUCUCCCAUGCCCUUCAAGGAAAAUGGUAGGAAGUGGUCACUCUACCUUGACAAUGAGGGAAUGUUGUCCUGAAAAGUUAUCAUUUGAGGGUCAUUCUUGUUAAAGAAAAAGCAGCAACUGAAUCAAGCGCUUGUCAGACUAUAUUAUGGUCAUUCACACACACAUACACACACACACACACACACCACGGAGUCAGUAAAGAAACAGACCCCUCAAGAAUCAUAGAUUAGAAUUUUAAGCAGAAUAGGAAAAAUCCAUUUAUAGAAACAUGAGGCUAAAUGCUUAGUUGGCAUGUUAAUAGCUUGUCUUGGUCUUUGUGUUCAGAUCUUUAGGACUCAACUUUGAUCCAAUGAAGGAAACAAAUCACAGUUUCUGUAGGUUUUGUUGUUUUGAGAAUUGUUGAGCAAGCAAUGGUUAGGUACAGAUUAUGGUUAACUAUCAAGAUUAUUAUUAACAUUUGUAGUGGACAGUACUUGCACAUUCUUUUUCCAUAAUAAAUCAUGGAUCUAUUUUCACCACAUGGGCAUGGGCAGAGAGGGCAGUCUGGAGAGAAAGGAUAGUGUAAGCAAAAUCAGGGAGGCAAAGAGGAGUCUGCCUGGGGGAGUGGAAGUGGCUCGUCUUGGUAGGAGGGUAAAGCCGAGUGGAAGAGGUGAGUGGGUGGCACCAGGCGGAUGACAGUCAUGUUUGCGUCUCCAAUCCUAACUGUUCUCUUCUUUCUCUCUUCUCUUUCUGGUACUUCUGCUAAUGCUGAUAUACUUAAUGGUGUCCACAUUUUUGUGAAAUUGUUUUUCUUCCUUUUUUUCUCUCUGUUCUUCAGAUUGCAUAAUGGUCUCUAGUGAUCCUUCUUCAAGGUUGCUAAUUCUUUCUUCUGCCAAUUCAUACACAGCAUUCAGCCUCAACUUAAUUUUUCUGCUUGGCUUUUGUAAUACUCAACUUCAGAAUUUCCACUUGGUCCUUUCAUUUACCACAUAUGAUCUGUGUUAGUCCAGGUUACCCAGAGAAGUAGCACAGAUGAAAGACAGAUAGAUAAAGAUGAUAGAUGGGUAGAUCCUUAUAAUGAGCAGUGGGCUCAUGCUGCAGUGGAGGAUGAGAAGUCCCUGUGAGUCACCCUCUGCAAGCUGAAGGCCCCAGCAAGCUGCUCCACUGGUUCCAGCCUGAACCCAAGCCUAACGGUCAGGAAUGCCGACAUCUGAUCUGAAAGAGAAGACAAUUGUUCCAGACCAAGUGGGGACAGCAAGUUCUUCCUUCCCCUGCCCUUUUGUUCUGUUUAGGGCCUCAGUGGGUUGGAUGAAGCCCGACCACAGUGGUGAAGAUAUCUUCUUUGCUCACUCUGCCAAUUCCAGUGCUAUUCUAUUCUAGAAGACGCAGCCAGAAAUAGUGUUUUAUUGUUUACCUAGGCAUAACUUAGCCCAACCAACUUGACAGAUAAAAUUAAUCACCACACUGUCUGUAUUGAUAUUUUCUAACUGAUGAAUCAUUCUUAUUAUACCUUCCUUGGCCCUUUAAAUCUGAUUUCCUUUAGUUUGUAGGAAAUGCUUUGAAAUUUUUUGUGUGCUAAUUCAAACCUAGUCCCCCCUCAAAAGCAGUUUUUGCUGCCUGUCAUUUUUUCCCAUGUUUGCGCCACACUUUCCUGUUUAUUUCAUUUUUAAAAAAUUUUUGUCGACAAUGAUACAUCUUUGAUCAUUUAUCACAGCAUCUCUAGAUGUUGCUCCCCUUCCCGUUCCUGAGAACGGUGUUGUUUUCUUCUAGUGAGUUAUUUACUUCUUCAGUAACUUAACUGCACUGACUCUGAUGUUUCGUUCAGAUUUUUUUCUUCUUGAUUUUUACCUUUUAUCAUGGCUUUCUAGGAGUUUUCUCUGGGUCGAAUAAAUGAGUUAUUAGUUCAAUAGGAGGAUUAAACUCUUACCAAUGGGGCUGGCACCGUGGCGCAGCGGGUUAAUGUCCUGGCCUGCAGUGCUGGCAUCCCAUAUGGGUGCUGGUUGGAGACCCAGCUGCUCCACUUCUGAUCCAGCGUUCUGUUAUGGCCUGGGAAAGCAGUGGAAGAUGGCCCAAUCCUUGGGUCCCUGCACCCAUGUGAGAGACCUGGAGGAGGCUCCUGGCUCUUGGCUUCGGAUCAGUGCAGCUCUGACUGAUGUGGCCAGUUGGGGAGUGAACCAUUGGAUGGAAGACCUCUCUUUCUCUCUGCUUCUCCUCUCUCUGUGUAACUCUGAUUUUCAAAUAAAUAAAUAAAUAUUUUAAUUAAAAAAACUCUUACAUUCUCAUUUGAUUUUCAUAAAUAUCUUGUAUGUGUGGCUUGGAGAUGAAUUAUCUUCACAUUGUGGGGGUUUAUGCUUUUGUCUCACAUUCAUCCAGGGAUCAAUAGCCUGCAGUGUUCAUUCCAGGCCUUCUGAGGGGCACAGUGCUGAACAUGGGUCCUGACUUCCCAGUCUCCCAGGAUGGCAAUGUGAUAAGACUUGAUUUUUCAAGAUUUUACUUGUUUAUUUUCAUAUUAUUUGAAAGGCAGAAAGAGAGACAGACAAAUAGAGAUCCUCCAUGUUCUUAUUCACUCCCUAAAUGCCCACAACAGCCAAGACUAGUCCAGCCAAAGUCAGGACCUCGGGACUCAAUCUAGGCCUUCACACAGUGGCAGGGUCCUGGAUAUUUGAGCUACCACCUCCCAGGGUAUGCAUAGGAAGGAAGCUGAAAUCAGAAAUGGAUCAAGAACUUGAAUGCAGGCAUACCAAGCAACAUCUUAACCACUGCUCCCAGUCUUCCCCAGUUGUUUUAUUUUCAAGCUUAGCUUUUUUCAGAGUUACUCCUGGAGUGGUUUACUUGUAGCCAGAAUUUGCACAGAAAUUGUGCUUAAGCUUUUUGAUCCAGCGAGUCUUACAGACCUCUCCUGAUAGAUUGGUGUAUGGCAUAGGGAGUGUGCUGAGUUUGUUCCACAUACCACUUUAAUUAGCUGGGGUAGUACAGCAUAGAGCAUGAACCCAGCCUUCUAGACCCCCAGGAUGACCUUGAACACAGCUGGGCUAUUUUUGACAGACUGUCUCUGUUAGUAUUCUCAGCUUGCAAUACCUAGGGCAGAGUCCUCACCCUAUGAAUGUGAGCUGGGGAACAAAAGGGAGUCCCAGUUCCUUUGGUCUUGACUGUGCAGAACUGUGCGUGAGACUUUACAGAAUGAGAGAUGCUAGUGGCCUGUUGCUUUGGGUUGAAAUUGUAGUCCUACACUAGAAACUGAAAAGGAGACCACAUCUUUUUGCCUAUGCUCACCUGGAGUUGUUCUUCUAUCACAUGGAGAUGGUGUGACAGGACUCAAACACCAGAGACUCUUGCUGUUCAUAUCAAGAUUUAGUAGUAUUGGACUAAAUAUUUUUCCACUUGCUGUAAAAUGGUUGUUCCUGUAUUGAUAUCUCCCACCAGAAAAGCCAUUCUUUUGCUGGGGAAAGCAUUACUGAGGUCCUCAUAGUGAAUUUCUCAGUCCCUUUUUAUUCUCAUGCCAGUUGUUUGUUUAAAUUAGAGAGAGAGAGAGAGAGAGAGAGAGAGAGAGAGCUCUUCCUUCUGCUGGUUCACUCCCUUAAGUGGCUGUAACAGCUGGGGCUGGGCCAGGCCAAAGCCAGAAGCCCAGAAAUCAAUCUGUAUUUCCAUCAUGGGUAUCAGGGGCGCAAUUACCUGAGCCAUCACCUGCUACAUCUCAGUGUGGGCGUUAGCAGGAGGCUGAAAUCAAAAGCAGAGCCAGGACUUGAACCUAGGCUCCAUAUGGGAUUCUGGUGUACCAAAUGAUGUCUUGACCACUGCACCAAAUGUCAGCCCCAGGCCCAUUACAAAUUUUGAAAUUUGAGGCCAGUGUUGUGGUAUAGUGGGCAAAGCCUCUGCCUGCGACACCGGCAUCCUAUAUGGGAGCUGGUUCUAGUCUUGGCUGCUCCUCUUUCAAUUCAGCUCUCUGCUAUGUCCUGGAAAACCAGUAGAAGAUGACCCAAGUUCUUGGGUCCUUGCCCCCAUGUGGGAGACCUAGAAGAAGCUCCUGGCUCCUGGCUUUGGAUCGGCCCAGCUCUGGCCAUUGCAGCCAUUUGGGGAGUGAACCUCCCUCAAUCUGUCUGUAACUCUACCUUUCUAAUAAAUAAACAAAAUCUUUAAAAAAUGUUUUGAAAUUUGAGGCUAGUUGACAUUCAGCAAGCAGACUGUCAAUUUUAUAUAAAUGUAAAUGAAACAUUCUUGUUAAUGAAAAUAAUUUGAAGUGAAUUAAUUUUUAAAUAAAUCCUCAUCAGUUAUUUUACCAA